rnacentral:rRNA from 1 species
AGUGAACGCUGGCGGUAGGCCUAACACAUGCAAGUCGAACGAACGCACAGUAAGAUUUUGCUCUUACGGUUGGCGAGGGGCGGACGGGUAACGCAUGCAUCGCCAUCUACUAUUUCGUGGGGGACAACGUGAGAAAGGUGCUGCUACUACAUCAUACGUCGUACGGGAGGAAGCAAGGGAGCUUCGGACCUUGCGCGACAGUUUGAGCCGAUUCCGGGCCGGAUUAGCUAGUUGGUAAGGUAACGGCAUACCAAGGCAACGAUGCGUAGCCGAUCUGAGAGGGUGAUCAGCCACACUGGAACUGAGACACGGUCCAGACUCCUACGGGAGGCAGCAGUGGGGAAUAUUGGGCAAUGGGCGCAAGCCUGAUCCAGCCAUACCGCGUGAGUGAAGAAGGCCUUCGGGUCGUAAAGCCCUUUUGUUGGGAAAGAAAAGCAGUAGGUUAAUACCCCGACGUCCUGACGGUACCUAAAGAAUAAGCACCGGCUAACUUCGUG